rnacentral:rRNA from 1 species
CCUACGGGAGGCAGCAGUGGGGAAUUUUCCGCAAUGGGCGAAAGCCUGACGGAGCAAUACCGCGUGAGGGACGAAGGCUUUUGGGUCGUAAACCUCUUUUCCCUGAGAAGAAGAUCUGACGGUAUCAGGGGAAUCAGCAUCGGCUAACUUCGUGCCAGCAGCCGCGGUAAUACGAGGGAUGCAAGCGUUAUCCGGAAUUAUUGGGCGUAAAGCGUCCGCAGGUGGCUCUGUAAGUCUGUCGUUAAAGAAUGGGGCUCAACCCCAUACAGGCGAUGGAAACUACAAGGCUAGAGUUUGGUAGGGGUCACGGGAAUUCCUAGUGUAGCGGUGAAAUGCGUAGAUAUUAGGAAGAACACCAGCGGCGAAAGCGCGUGACUGGGCCAGUACUGACACUCAUGGACGAAAGCUAGGGGAGCGAAAGGGAUUAGAUACCCCUGUAGUCCUAGCCGUAAACGAUGAUAACUAGGUGUUGCCCGUAUCGACCCGGGCAGUGCCGUAGCCAACGCGUUAAGUUAUCCGCCUGGGGUAGUACGCACGCAAGUGUGAAUAAAUAGAUAGAGCGNGAGAGNGCCGACGCGACGACGAGGAGUAGG